GGGAUCGAAAGACCUCGUGCUUUGAGGGUGGCCGAUGUCUGAUUAGCUAGUUGGUAGGGUAAAGGCCUACCAAGGCGACGAUCAGUAGCUGGUCUGAGAGGACGAUCAGCCACACUGGGACUGAGACACGGCCCAGACUCCUACGGGAGGCAGCAGUGGGGAAUUUUGGACAAUGGGCGAAAGCCUGAUCCAGCCAUGCCGCGUGAGUGAAGAAGGCCUUCGGGUUGUAAAGCUCUUUCGGUCGGAAAGAAAUAUCUAUAAAAAAUAUUUAUAGAGGAUGACGGUACCGACAUAAGAAGCACCGGCUAACUACGUGCCAGCAGCCGCGGUAAUACGUAGGGUGCAAGCGUUAAUCGGAAUUAUUGGGCGUAAAGGGUGCGCAGGCGGUGCUGUAAGUCAGAUGUGAAAUCCCCGGGCUUAACCUGGGAAUUGCGUUUGAAAC
rnacentral:rRNA from 1 species